rnacentral:rRNA from 1 species
AUUGAACGCUGGCGGCAUGCUUUACACAUGCAAGUCGAGCGGUAACAGGCCUUCGGGUGCUGACGAGUGGCGAACGGGUGAGUAAUGCAUCGGAACGUACCCAGAGGUGGGGGAUAACGCAGCGAAAGCUGUGCUAAUACCGCAUGUGAUCUGAGGAUGAAAGCGGGGGACCGAGCAGCAAUGUUUGGCCUCGCGCCUUUGGAGCGGCCGAUGUCGGAUUAGCUAGUUGGUGGGGUAAAGGCCUACCAAGGCGACGAUCCGUAGCUGGUCUGAGAGGACGACCAGCCACACUGGGACUGAGACACGGCCCAGACUCCUACGGGAGGCAGCAGUGGGGAAUUUUGGACAAAGGGCGCAAGCCAGAUCCAGCAAUGCCGCGUGCGGGAAGAAGGCCUUCGGGUUGUAAACCGCUUUUGGCAGGAACGAAACGGUGUCCGCUAAUACCGGGCGCUAAUGACGGUACCUGCAGAAUAAGCACCGGCUAACUACGUG